rnacentral:rRNA from 1 species
AACUUAAGAGUUUGAUCCUGGCUCAGAUUGAACGCUGGCGGCAUGCUUUACACAUGCAAGUCGAACGGCAGCGGGGGCUUCGGCCCGCCGGCGAGUGGCGAACGGGUGAGUAAUGCAUCGGAACGUGCCCAGUCAUGGGGGAUAACUACGCGAAAGCGUAGCUAAUACCGCAUACGCCCUGAGGGGGAAAGUGGGGGAUCGCAAGACCUCACGUGAUUGGAGCGGCCGAUGUCAGAUUAGCUAGUUGGUGAGGUAAAGGCUCACCAAGGCGACGAUCUGUAGCGAUGAUCCGCCACACUGGGACUGAGACACGGCCCAGACUCCUACGGGAGGCAGCAGGGGUCUGAGAGUGGGGAAUUUUGGACAAUGGGCGAAAGCCUGAUCCAGCCAUGCCGCGUGAGUGAAGAAGGCCUUCGGGUUGUAAAGCUCUUUCGGACGGAAGCGGGCUAAUAUCCCGCGUGGAUGACGGUACCGUAAGAAGAGAAAUCGCAAGCACCGGCUAACUACGUGCCAGCAGCCGCGGUAAUACGUAGGGUGCGAGCGUUAAUCGGAAUUACUGGGCGUAAAGCGUGCGCAGGCGGUACAGGUGUGAAAUCCCCGGGCUUAACCUGGGAACUUUGUAAGUGCGCUUGUGACUGCAAGGCUAGAGUACGGCAGAGGGGGGUGGAAUUCCACGUGUAGCAGUGAAAUGCGUAGAGAUGUGGAGGUGGCGAAGGCAGCCCCCUGGGCCUGUACUGACGCUCAUGCACGAAAGCGUGGGGAAACACCGAGCAAACAGGAUUAGAUACCCUGGUAGUCCACGCCCUAAACGAUGUCAACUAGUUGUUCGUAGAGGUAACUCUGUGAGUAACGCAGCUAACGCGUGAAGUUGACCGCCUGGGGAGUACGGCCGCAAGGUUAAAACUCAAAGGAAUUGACGGGGACCCGCACAAGCGGUGGAUGAUACGCGAAAAACCUUACCUGUGGAUUCGAAUUAUGCAACCCUUGACAUGCCUGGAACCUUGGUGAGAGCCGAGGGUGCCUUCGGGAACCAGGACACAGGUGCUGCAUGGCUGGCGCAACCCUUUCGUCAGCUCGUGUCGUGAGAUGUUGGGUUAAGUCCCGCAACGAGUCAUUAAUUGCCAUCAUUCAGUUGGGCACUUUAAUGAGACUGCCGGUGACAAACCGGAGGAAGGUGGGGAUGACGUCAAGUCCUCAUGGCCCUUAUGGGUAGGGCUUCAUGGUCGGUACAGAGGGUUGCCACACGUCAUACAAAACCGCGAGGUGGAGCUAAUCCCUUAAAGCCGAUCGUAGUCCGGAUCGUAGUCUGCAACUCGACUGCGUGAAGUCGGAAUCGCUAGUAAUCGCAGAUCAGCAUGCUGCGGUGAAUACGUUCCCGGGUCUUGUACACACCGCCCGUCACACCAUGGGAGUGGGUUUCACCAGAAGUAGGUAGCUUAACCUUCGGGAGGGCGCUUACCACGGUGAGAUUCAUGACUGGGGUGAAGUCGUAACAUCGGAAGGUGCGGCUGGAUCACCUCCUU